rnacentral:rRNA from 1 species
GCCAGACUCCUACGGGAGGCAGCAGUGGGGGAUAUUGCACAAUGGGGGAAACCCUGAUGCAGCGACGCCGCGUGGGUGAAGAAGUAUUUCGGUAUGUAAAGCCCUAUCAGCAGGGAAGAAAGAAGACGGUACCUGACUAAGAAGCCCCGGCUAACUACGUGCCAGCAGCCGCGGUAAUACGUAGGGGGCGAGCGUUAUCCGGAUUCACUGGGUGUAAAGGGAGCGUAGACGGCCGUGCAAGCCAGGAGUGAAAGCCCGGGGCCCAACCCCGGGACUGCUCUUGGAACUGUGCGGCUGGAGUGCGGGAGGGGCAGGCGGAAUUCCUGGUGUAGCGGUGAAAUGCGUAGAUAUUAGGAGGAACACCAGUGGCGAAGGCGGCCUACUGGACGGUGACUGACGCUGAGGCUCGAAAGCGUGGGGAGCAAACAGGAUUAGAUACCCUCGUAAGC